UCGCUGCGCUUCAGUGGGCUCCUCUUCUACCCCGUCUGACCUUUAAACCUGCACUCUGAGCGCCUCGAAGCCUGUCAUUGGUCGAGAGGAGGGACGAGCUCUCCUGAUCCUGUGGUUAAUGAUUCAGCCCCUCGGAGAACAAGAGAAUGAGCUAGACAGGCAGAAGCGAGAGGCAGCGUAAUGAGAAGCCUGAGAGGAGAGUUACCCAGGAUGCCCAAAUCAACAGCCCUUCGCUCUUAUGAGAGCUGACAUGCCUGUAACCGUGGAGACGCCACUAAUGGGCGGGGACUGAUUGAGGUAUACGUAACUCUGAUUGGCCUGUAUUUUGAGCGCUUGGCCUCUGGUCCCCACUGCUUGAAAUAUUCAAGAUACAAUCCACCGUGUGUGGAGAGGAGACUUCUGGGAUGAUGUAGUGCUUGUUUUGCAUGUUUUGCGGAUAUUGACUGAUGUUUCAGCGCACAUCUUUCAUCAUCGACAGGAACUGAAUGCAGAGUGUUUGUGAUGAGUGGGCCGGUGGAGUGAAAGUGAUGAUGAGCGACACCUGCGCCACUCACUGGUCUCGAGUCCCACAGAGGAGCUCCAGAAUGAUAAAAGGAGGAGUGUUGGCAGAGCAAGACGAGAGAGGAUCAGGCCUGGUUCUGUUUGUGCACAACAGUCGUCCCUGAGGGGCUGUUGCGCUGUUUUGUUAUUAAAGUUUUAUUUAGAAUGUUUGCCGGUUCUCGCCUCCUCCUUCCGUGACUACGAACUGUGUUACAGUGUUAUAAUGCUACAUAUAUGAAUAUAUAACUGAAAACCACUCUCAAACAGCUGAGAAAGAAAUUGUAUGUGUAUCAUUAUACUGGAUCUGUGCAGUUGGAUUUAAAGGGACAGUAGCCCCUAAAUAUGUGCUGCUGAAUAUGUCACUAAUGACAACAAAAA